rnacentral:sRNA from 1 species
GUGAAAGAAGUGGAGUUGUUCACCAGCUAGAUAUAGCCAAACCAUUGUAGCAGUGCAAGUUCUGUACUACUGCCCUGCCAAUCGGCCUCAAUCUUGGACUGGAGGGAGCACCUCUAGAUGUGAGACUCUCCAUGCUUCAAGCAGUCUUGUUA